CAUAAGCACUGUUGAACUUAAGUUGGGUAUUAUCCAACUUAAAUGGGUUUGACUCGGCAAAACACAUUUUAUUUUUAUUUUUAUUUUUAUUUUUAUUUUUCUGCUUUGCUUUCAAAAGAUCGCUCCCUUAGCUCUCUCUCCUAAAAUCUGCAGCGAUUGCCCAUCAAUCUCACCACUGCUCACCCACCAAACACAACCAUCAAUUCCAAACACAGUAGCCAUCACCAAUUAGUCCAAUACAUACCCAAAUAGCAAUCCCCAAUCUAAAGAGAGACGUAUUUGCAGGCCACUAUCGCCACCAUCUCCGUCAGACUGAACUUCGAGCACAGACUACCAUCGCCGGAAUGAACUUUUCCGACCACUCGCCAUCACGUGCUCAUGCGAGUAGAUCUAACGUUUUUACAUGCGUACAUGCGCCUCUUCCUCUUUGACGAUUGCAAUACAAGCACAGAUCCAAACCCUUCACAAAUUACUUCUAUCCAAUCCACUGGCUGCAAAUCCUCCAUUCUCUCCAACGCCGUGAAGAUACCGUCCGCCUACCGCUCGUACAUAGUCUGCACACUCGUGAAGAAGAUCUCAACCGUCAAGGUGGAGGACUGGGAUGGUUGGAUGAGGAAUUAGGACGGCGUGGUGGAGAUCGAGGAAGAUGUUUGUAGAGAGAGAAAGGAUAGAAUCUCACAUAAAUGGGUUUUACCCGAAAAUAGAUGGGCAUUGCCCAAUUUAAUUUAAUAUUUAUUAUAGACACAUGUUGACAUUCUAUUAGACCACGUACCCAGGUUGGACAAACUUCAUCCAACCUGGGUUGGAUGCAAAUAUUGUCCAAAGAGAAAUGGAGAAAUGGAGAAUUGGUGGGUAGUGGGUCCCAGUGGUGACGUUUUAAUGGGAUUUGGUUUAGUUUUUGUUUAGUCACAAUGUGUGUAUAUAUAUAUAUAUGUAUCUUUGUGGUCUGACGGAAAGGGACCAGCCGAAGUAGGAAGAGAAGUGGGAAAAGGAAAUUGAUAAUGAUAUUUGUGGGGCCCACGUUGACUAAACCUUGUGCAUAUAACCUCAUAUAGUUGAAUUCAUAGUCAUUCUCUUCUUCUCAUUAUGGCAGUAUGCUCUCUUUCUCUACAGAUUCAAUCUCUCUCUAAAUCUAAGCACUUCUAGCCUUGAUUCUUCUAUUUUUCUUUGAGAUUUUGAUCUUGCCAUAGAAGGCAAAGUUGACGAGCGUGUUGAGAGCUUUGUGUUGAUGGGAGCAAAGCCUUAUUUGGGCCACUUUCAGAUUUUCAAAUUUGGGGUUCUCUUUGGGAUUUUCUUCAUUUCUUGAGGAUACGAAAAGGAAGUGGCAGACUGUAAUACCCCUAAUUUUAAAAGGAUAGUCCUGGUGUUCGUCAGUUCCAAGGUUAGAGUUUGGAUGUGCAGUGCAGUGCAGAUACAGACAUUCAUUCCUCCGACUACGUUUGGGCCUGGGCCUGAUCAACCCGUGUCUCGGAUCCGAGGGGUAUCACACAGACGAUGCUCUUCCACAGGUUUUGAUGGGAUACGGAAAGGAAGUGGUGGACGACGUUUCUCCACAGGUUUUGAUGGCUCCAAACUUACUAAGCAGGGUUAAGCUUUUCAGAGUGGAUAUGGGCUUUACAUGAAAGUCAUCAGUUAUCAUGAACCUUGAGGUUCCUGCAGUAAAUUUCAGCUGCACUUCGAGGACGAAGCAGCAAGUCCUUGCACUUCACACUUUGUAGAUGUUCCUUGUCAAGAUUCUCAACACUUUCAUAUAAGUUGUUCAAACAACCAAAGUCCACUUCUAGUGACUGUUCGUGGGCAAGUCUCAGAAUGUUUCCAAUAGUCAUAGUCAUGAAGCUGAAGAGAACGUCAACAAAAUCCUUAUUGAACUCGGCAAAAACAAAUUGAUUUUUCUAUUUUCCACCAUCACCUUCAGAAUUAGACUUUGUAAUGCUUUGCUUGCCAUCAUUUGAAGGGGACAAAAAAAAUGGACAGUUAUUUGGCGGAUAGUUAUAUUGGCAAAAUUCAGCUUGUAUGUCAAUGAAUGUAACCUGCAUCAAAGUUUCAUAUAACAUUAGAAUUUGACCUCUCUUUCCCAACACCCUGCCUUCCUGGUGCAGGUGAAGCGUCAAGAAAUCAUUCGAUGAAAAUAAUUCCUAGACCGUCUUAACCACGAAUGGCGUGGAAUUAUACCCCCUCUGAAUAAUCAAACCUCGAGUACUGAACUAUAACCAUGUUCUAUGAUCUCACAGCUUACAAAGGUGGUUAGGAAAAACAAGAGACCGAAACUGUAUGAACUUUUACUCAUAAUUGAUUACAAAGUAUGCACAUCAGUCCUGGGAUUUUAGACUCAAAAUUACACAGAACCUAAAACCAUUUUGGCACUGUGAGCUGAAAAUUUGACACCUUUGAUAUGAUGCAACACCGCCAAUACACAUAUCCAAGCAAAGGCCCAGAAAAAGAAGUCAGCAUUAGAAGGAGAUACCAUUAUCCAUUAAAUGCCCUGCCAAUUGGUGGAGAACAACUUCUCUUCUCCUCCAAUUGCAAUCAUGGGACUCACCUAUGUGCCUCUUCUCUACAGUCAUGUUGAAAAUAAAAUAAAAAACAAAUACAAAAACAAAAAAAGCCAAAAUUAGGUUCUUUUCCUUUCCUUUUCUCUUUACCGUCUAUACUUCUCUGUUCCUGACAACUAAGCAGAAC